rnacentral:rRNA from 1 species
UACGUAGGGUGCAAGCGUUGUCCGGAAUUAUUGGGCGUAAAGAGCUCGUAGGCGGUCUGUCGCGUCUGCUGUGAAAACUCAGGGCUUAACCCUGAGCUUGCAGUGGGUACGGGCAGACUUGAGUUCGGCAGGGGAGACUGGAAUUCCUGGUGUAGCGGUGAAAUGCGCAGAUAUCAGGAGGAACACCGGUGGCGAAGGCGGGUCUCUGGGCCGAUACUGACGCUGAGGAGCGAAAGCGUGGGGAGCGAACAGG